CGCGGGGUGGAGCAGUUCGGUAGCUCGUCGGGCUCAUAACCCGAAGGUCGUGGGUUCAAAUCCCACCCCCGCCACCA
rnacentral:tRNA from 4 species